UGUUGAUGGGGACCGGCGCACGGGUGAGUAACGCGUAUCCAACCUGCCCUUUACUAUGGGACAGCCCGUCGAAAGGCGGAUUAAUACCGUAUGUUGUCAUGUUGAUGCAUAUUUUCAUGACCAAAGGCUUCGGCCGGUAAAGGAUGGGGAUGCGUCUGAUUAGCUUGCCGGCGGGGUAACGGCCCACCGGGGCGACGAUCAGUAGGGGUUCUGAGAGGAAGGUCCCCCACAUUGGAACUGAGACACGGUCCAAACUCCUACGGGAGGCAGCAG
rnacentral:rRNA from 1 species